rnacentral:rRNA from 1 species
AACGAACGCUGGCGGCAUGCCUAACACAUGCAAGUCGAACGAGACCUUCGGGUCUAGUGGCGCACGGGUGCGUAACGCGUGGGAACCUGCCCUUAGGUUCGGAAUAACUCCCUGAAAGGGGUGCUAAUACCGGAUAAUGUCUUCGGACCAAAGAUUUAUCGCCUUUGGAUGGGCCCGCGUUGGAUUAGCUAGUUGGUAGGGUAAAAGCCUACCAAGGCGACGAUCCAUAGCUGGUAUGAGAGGAAGAUCAGCCACACUGGGAGUGGGACACGGCCCAAACCUCUGCGGAGGGCAGCAGGGGGGAUAUAGGGAGAAUGGGCGAAAGCCUAAUCCAGUAAGGCCGGGUGGUUGAUGAGUGGCUUAAGGUAGGAAACCGCUUUUACCCGGGAUGAUAAGGGCAUAACCGGGGGAUAAAGCCCCGGUUACCUCCGU